CUUUAGUGUCUUUGUUGCUUGGCUGUGCGUGGAAUGCGGUGUCCGUGACCUAAGGAUAUCUUAAAUGAGUACGCCUCUGUUCGUAUGCAUCUAUGUUUGGUCUUUGCUGUAAAACUACAGCUAGCUGCUAACUCCGGCUUUGUGUACUUAGAUAGUUUAGUAUUACUGGAUUGUAUAUAGCGCGCUUUUAUUGUAAAUAAACGGCUUUUUAACAAAAAAAGACCGG